GACGGGGGGAUGCAAGUGUUAUCCGGAAUAAUUGGGCGUAAAGCGUCUGUAGGUGGUUUACCAAGUCUGUUGUUAAAAAUCAGGGCUUAACCCUGAUCCGGCAACAGAAACUAGUAGGCUGGAGUACGGUAGGGGCAGAGGGAAUUCUCGGUGUAGUGGUGAAAUACGUAGAUAUCGAGAAGAACACCAAUAGCGAAAGCACUCUGCUGGGCCGAAACUGACAUUGAGAGACGAAAGCUAGGGGAGCGAAAGGG
rnacentral:rRNA from 1 species